AAACAAGGCAUCUGUUCUGGUUUUUCUUCUUCCAUUAGCUGGUCUAGAAUGGUCUCCCACGUUGGUAUGAGUUCCAUUCCUUCCUGUUGUAUUUGAUAUUGUGUCUAAACGUUCAAACUAAAACUGAGGGUUGAACAGUGUGGAGUCCUUCCAUCCACUGACCUCCACACUGUUCUAUAGUGUAGAUGAUACUUCCGACACAUGGAACAUACUGCCAAGUACUUCUCCACGCAGCAUUCACCGUUUUUGGCCGGUGGCCAUGUAUAUUAUAUUAUCUCAAGGCUGAUCUCACAUCUGUUUUGUCUUAUCGUUGUAAUGGGUAAUAUUACAUGGACAGAGAGGGGGCUCCUGAUCCUAGAUCAGCGCUCCUGUUUUGAACACGGGCCCCAGAACAGAGGUUGUUUAGGAACUUGUUUCUAUCAGACCAAUGAUGGCUAAAGCAGAGGCUGUGUGUUCAAAACCGUCUCCCUGCUGGAGAGUUUUAACUGUGUCCCAUAUGGCAUCCUAUUCCCUACAUGGUACACGACUGUUGACCAGGCCCUGUAGGGUGCUAUAUACAGGAUAGUUUGCCAUUUGGGACUCAACUUAGUAGCAGGUCAGGGGAAGCAGAGGAGACCUUUAGGACAGCAUCAGACUAGUGUGUGUGUUUACAGUAGCUGUUCUAACACACAGAGAUACAGACACACAAAACUCAACCUACAUACUGGUAGCACUGUAGGUAACUAUCAACAUCAGACUGUCAGUCUUGUUUCAUGUGUCCUCCUCUCUGUGUAUUUAAAUGCAGUUAUACAGGACAAUGUCGACAUGGGUCAUUUUGUUGGUUAAACUCAAUAGUUUGUGUUAUUACAGUUGUUGACUGGUGGGCAGAGCUAGCUGUGUGUGACUGGUGGGCAGAGCUAGCUGUGUGUGACUGGUGGGCAGAGCUAGCUGUGUGUGUGUGUGACUGGUGGGCAGAGCUCUGUGUGUGUGUGUGUGACUGGUGGGCAGAGCUAGCUGUGUGUGUGUGUGACUGGUGGGCAGAGCUAGCUGUGUGUGUGUGUGACUGGUGGGCAGAGCUAGCUGUGUGUGUGUGUGACUGGUGGGCAGAGCUAGCUCUGUGUGUGUGUGACUGGUGGGCAGAGCUAGCUGUGUGUGUGUGUGACUGGUGGGCAGAGCUAGCUGUGUGUGUG
ensembl:lncRNA